rnacentral:rRNA from 1 species
CGUACCGAUAUAAAGUGCGAUGGGGGGACGGAGAAAGGUAGGUCAGCCCACUGUUGGAAUAGUGGGUUUAAGCGAGUAGGCGUGUGGCUUAGGCAAAUCCGGGCUGCUUUAACGCUGAGACGUGACGACGAAGUCUUCGGACUGAAGUGAUUGAUCCUAUGCUUCCAAGAAAAGCCUCUAAGCUUCAGCUUUAUAUUGACCG